AGGACGAACGCUGGCGGCGCGCUUAACACAUGCAAGUCGAGCGAGAACCAGUCCUUCGGGACUGGGGACAGCGGCGAACGGGUGAGUAACACGUGGGUAAUCUGCCCUCGAUUCUGGGAUAGCCCGGGGAAACCCGGAUUAAUACCGGAUAGCCUCUCGAGCUUUCGAGCUCGUGAGAAAAGGUAGCUUCGGCCUCCGAUCGAGGAUGAGCCCGCGGCGGAUUAGCUUGUUGGUGGGGUAAUGGCCUACCAAGGCGACGAUCCGUAGCUGGUCUGAGAGGACGAUCAGCCACACUGGGACUGAGACACGGCCCAGACUCCUACGGGAGGCAGCAGUGGGGAAUCUUGCGCAAUGGGCGAAAGCCUGACGCAGCGACGCCGCGGUGGGGGAAGAAGGCCUUCGGGUUGUAAACCUCUUUCAGCGAGGACGAAGCCACUCGGUUAAUACGCCCGAGAGGUGAACCGGUACUGACAGAACGAGCCCCGGCUAACUCGU
rnacentral:rRNA from 1 species